rnacentral:rRNA from 1 species
UACGUAGGGUGCAAGCGUUAAUCGGAAUUACUGGCGUAAAGCGUGCGCAGGCGGCUAUGCAAGACAGAUGUGAAAUCCCCGGGCUCAACCUGGGAACUGCAUUUGUGACUGCAUGGCUAGAGUACGGCAGAGGGGGAUGGAAUUCCGCGUGUAGCAGUGAAAUGCGUAGAUAUGCGGAGGAACACCGAUGGCGAAGGCAAUCCCCUGGGCCUGUACUGACGCUCAUGCACGAAAGCGUGGGGAGCAAACAGG